rnacentral:ncRNA from 1 species
GCAGAGUAGGUGCGCACGUGUUGUGCUUCCCCUGAUGGGGGAGACAGUGCCGGCGGGACGGGGAGUUGUCCGCCGGACGAAUAGCACGAGGGGAGAUCCCCCGAAGCUUGCAGUGUGCCCACCGCAUCCCGCUGC